rnacentral:tRNA from 1 species
GGGUCCGUAGUUUAAUUAAAACGCUUGCCUGAUAAGCAAGAAAUGUGGGUUCCAAUCCCAACGUGAGACCCG